AGCAGCCGCGGUAAUUCCAGCUCCAAUAGCGUAUAUUAAAGUUGUUGCAGUUAAAAGCUCGUAGUUGAAUUUCGGGAUCAAGGGAUCGGUCAUGCUUUGGUAUGUACUGGUCUUAUUGGUUCUCACCUUCUAAAGAACCAUGAUGUCAUUCAUUUGAUGUUAUGGGGAAUUAGGACUGUUACCUUGAAAAAUUAGAGUGUUUAAAGCAAGCUUACGCUUGAAUACAUUAGCAUGGAAUAAUGAAAUAGGACAUCAGAUUCUAUUUUGUUGGUUUCUAGGAUCGAUGUAAUGAUUAAUAGGGAUAGUUGGGGGCAUUAGUAUUCAAUUGUCAGAGGUGAAAUUCUUGGAUUUAUUGAAGACUAACUACUGCGAAAGCAUUGCCAAGGAUGUUUUCAUUAAUCAAGAACGAAAGUUAGGGAUCGAAGACGAUCAGAUACCGUCGUAGUC
rnacentral:rRNA from 1 species